AGGGUUUGAUCCUGGCUCAGAUUGAACGCUGGCGGCAUGCCUUACACAUGCAAGUCGAACGGCAGCACGGGUGCUUGCACCUGGUGGCGAGUGGCGAACGGGUGAGUAAUACAUCGGAACGUACCUUAUCGUGGGGGAUAACGCAGCGAAAGCUGUGCUAAUACCGCAUACGCCCUGAGGGGGAAAGCGGGGGAUCGAAAGACCUCGCGCGAUUAGAGCGGCCGAUGCCUGAUUAGCUUGUUGGUGGGGUAAAAGCCCACCAAGGCGACGAUCAGUAGCUGGUCUGAGAGGACGAUCAGCCACACUGGGACUGAGACACGGCCCAGACUCCUACGGGAGGCAGCAGUGGGGAAUUUUGGACAAUGGGGGAAACCCUGAUCCAGCAAUGCCGCGUGAGUGAAGAAGGCCUUCGGGUUGUAAAGCUCUUUUGUCAGGGAAGAAACACCGGCUCUAACACAGUCCGGGAAUGACGGUACCUGAAGAAUAAGCACCGGCUAACUACGUGCCAGCAGCCGCGGUAAUACGGAAGGUCCAAGCGUUAAUCGGAAUUACUGGGCGUAAAGCGCGCGUAGGUGGUUUAUUAAGUUGGAUGUGAAAUCCCCGGGCUCAACCUGGGAACUGCAUCCAAAACUGAUUCACUAGAGUACGAUAGAGGGAGGUAGAAUUCACAGUGUAGCGGUGGAAUGCGUAGAUAUUGUGAAGAAUACCAAUGGCGAAGGCAGCCUCCUGGAUCUGUACUGACACUGAGGUGCGAAAGCGUGGGUAGCGAACAGGAUUAGAUACCCUGGUAGUCCACGCCGUAAACGAUGUCAACUAGCUGUUGGGGAACUAUGUUCUUCAGUGGCGCAGCUAACGUAGUAAGUUGACCGCCUGGGGAGUACGGCCGCAAGGCUAAAACUCAAAUGAAUUGACGGGGACCCGCACAAGCGGUGGAGCAUGUGGUUUAAUUCGAUGCAACGCGAAAAACCUUACCUAUACUUGACAUACCUGGAAUGCUUUGUAAUGAAGUAGUGCCUUCGGGAGCCAGGAUACAGGUGCUGCAUGGCUGUCGUCAGCUCGUGUCGUGAGAUGUUCCGUUAAGUCGGAUAACGAGCGCAACCCUUACCCUUAUUUGCCAGCGAUUCGGUCGGGAACUAU
rnacentral:rRNA from 1 species